AGUGAACGCUGGCGGUAGGCCUAACACAUGCAAGUCGAACGGCAGCACAGUAAGAGCUUGCUCUUACGGGUGGCGAGUGGCGGACGGGUGAGGAAUACAUCGGAAUCUACUUUUUCGUGGGGGAUAACGUAGGGAAACUUACGCUAAUACCGCAUACGACCUACUGGUGAAAGCAGGGGAUCUUCGGACCUUGCGCGAUUGAAUGAGCCGAUGUCGGAUUAGCUAGUUGGCGGGGUAAAGGCCCACCAAGGCGACGAUCCGUAGCUGGUCUGAGAGGAUGAUCAGCCACACUGGAACUGAGACACGGUCCAGACUCCUACGGGAGGCAGCAGUGGGGAAUAUUGGACAAUGGGCGCAAGCCUGAUCCAGCCAUACCGCGUGGGUGAAGAGGGCCUUCGGGUUGUAAAGCCCUUUUGUUGGGAAAGAAAAGCAGCAGGUUAAUACCCCGCUGUUCUGACGGUACCCAAAGAAUAAGCACCGGCUAACUUCGUG
rnacentral:rRNA from 1 species